UCCAAUUGGGGUCCUAAAUGGGGUCCAAAUGGGGUCCCAAUGGGGUCAUAAUGGGGUCUAAAUGGGGUCCAAAUGGGGGUCAAAUGGGGUCCAAUUGGGCUCCUUUAGCUGUGUUUUAUCGCCCUUCCAGGACCCGAAAGGUCCUCCAGGACCACUUUAAUCCCCCCAUAGAUGGCCCUGAGUUCCUUUAGCUCUGUUUUAUCGCCCUUCCAGGACCCAAAAGGUCCUCCAGGACCACUUCAAUGCCCCCAUAGACGGCCCUGGGCUCCUUUAGCUGUGUUUUAUCGCCCUUCCAGGACCCGAAAGGUCCUCCAGGACCACUUCAAUCCCCCCAUAGACGGCCCUGGGCUCCUUUAGCUGUGUUUUAUCGCCCUUCCAGGACCCGAAAGGUCCUCCAGGACCACUUCAAUCCCCCCAUAGAUGGCCCUGAGUUCCUUUAGCUCUGUUUUAUCGCCCUUCCAGGACCCGAAAGGUCCUCCAGGACCACUUUAAUCCCCUCAUAGAUGGCCCUGGGCUCCUUUAGCUCUGUUUUAUCGCCCUUCCAGGACCCGAAAGGUCCUCCAGGACCACUUUAAUCCCCCCAUAGAUGGCCCUGAGUUCCUUUAGCUCUGUUUUAUCGCCCUUCCAGGACCCGAAAGGUCCUCCAGGACCACUUCAAUCCCCUCAUAGACGGCCCUGGGCUCCUUUAGCUCUGUUUUAUCGCCCUUCCAGGACCCGAAAGGUCCUCCAGGACAACUGCAGCCCCUCAUAGACGGCCCUGGGCUCCUUUAGCUGUGUUUUAUCGCCCUUCCAGGACCCGAAAGGUCCUCCAGGACCA